rnacentral:rRNA from 1 species
AGCGAACGCUGGCGGCAGGCCUAACACAUGCAAGUCGAGCGAAGCCUUCGGGCUUAGCGGCGGACGGGUGAGUAACGCGUGGGAACGUGCCCUUUGCUACGGAAUAGCCCCGGGAAACUGGGAGUAAUACCGUAUGUGCACGAGAGGGGAAAGAUUUAUCGGCAAAGGAUCGGCUCGCGUUGGAUUAGGUAGUUGGUGGGGUAAUGGCCUACCAAGCCGACGAUCCAUAGCUGGUUUGAGAGGAUGAUCAGCCACACUGGGACUGAGACACGGCCCAGACUCCUACGGGAGGCAGCAGUGGGGAAUCUUAGACAAUGUGCGCAAGCCUGAUCUAGCCAUGCCGCGUGAGCGAUGAAGGCCUUAGGGUUGUAAAGCUCUUUCAGUGGGGAAGAUAAUGACGGUACCCACAGAAGAAGCCCCGGCUAACUCCGUGCCAGCCGCCGCAGUAAAAC